CUCCACCUUCAAGGGUACUACAGGGUAAAAACGUCUGCGAGAAUAAUCUCGGCUUAAUCAUAGCCUGGUCGAUAGGUGCAGGUAUGCUAAAUAUCUCUAUGUCCACAAGAAUGAACGAAGCAAGGAUAUAGUGAAUCCACGUAGAUACAACAAGUCGGGAUUGUUUGCUGCAUCCGUACCUCAUGCGCAGUAUCGCCGAAGCGUCCUUUUCUGGCCGAGAAUGCCAUGAAAUUGCCGCUACCGUCUCUGUCCGGAGUGGAAUCGAAAAUAGAAGUGGCACAACGAGUAUUUCCAACUGUGAAUUCUCCCAAAACAAGAGAACAUCCUGUUCACGCACUACUGCGAUAUAAAAACGAUAGCAGCCAGCUGGAGGGUCGGAAAAAGUCCCGUUGUACCUUUCUUUACUCAGAACUUUUAACUAAUAUUCGCAUCGGCGCGGCGGGGAGAAGCGCAUGUCACACUGACCUCAAAAGAGGGCGAGAAUCUCCUCUGCUUCGUAUCCCGAUGUAGCCUAGGGGCAGUCGUUGACUGCAGUAGGCUACCGGUAGGAAGAUUUCGACCGAUGCCGUGCAAAGGCCGGGCUCUGCUGCCUUGUCGCAGUUGAGUAUAGCUCGGAGUAACUUCACGAGGUUUUAUGCUUCCCUAUGGAAGAAAGCUUCCCAGGUCUAGGGAGAAUCCCUUACAGUCCGAGUGAGACCAACUCUCGGCUGGGCACUGUUAAUGCUUGUAUCCCUCAGGCAUUCAUCCCAUUGGUACUGUAUGUCAUCUUCGGAUUUGGGUCCCUUUUAGAGGACUCGAAUCUCAUGCAGGGCAUAGGUCGAGCCGAUUCUUAAUCCUGGACCGCAGGGACUUGGGCGGUAAAGCAGCGAACUACAGAGCAUUCACCGGCGAGAUUAGGGGGCCAGGAUCACCGACCCAAUAGCAAUUUCUUCACCUGGGAUAGUGUCUGGAUUACUUGAUUACGCCCAUUUUGAGUUUACCCAAUACUGCAGAAUCUCUGUAUAGAAAGUCAAACCAAGCACGAAAGAACAGAAUGGAUUUCGACAACUCUUCCCUACAUCUUGGGCACGGGUUGCCAGCCUCGACCAGGAAUGCGCCUACGGACACCGGCAUACGUCAGUACACGCAUCAGGCAGGUGAAGAGAGGAAAAAUGUCAUCAUAUUGGGAGCCUUUUAGUGUUUCAGACACUAUGAACAUAUCGGCCCAGUUGUAAAACAGAUAUAGACAUAGUCCUGUUGGCACAAGUCCUCCCCUCGCAUCAAGACGGGCUCCCCUUCACUAUGACCAUCGUAAAGUGUCCUCCGAGAUAUGCUAUGUAUCGUCGGAUAAUUUAAAAUGAUCCAAAGAUAAGAGCAUAUUUUUUAAAACGAUAUGCAUAGAAUGGCAUUUCAACUAAUCAUAGAUUAUGAUAUCUAUCUUCUGGAGACAUGC
rnacentral:lncRNA from 1 species